UUAUGCUGAUAAGAGCGUAUGGUGGAUGCCUUGGCACUAAGAGCCGAUGAAAGACGUGAUAAGCUGCGAAAAGCUUCGGGGAGGGGCAAAUACCCAUUGAUCCGGAGAUUUCUGAAUGGGGAAACCUACCUGAGCAAACCUCAGGUAUCCUGACGCCAAUCCAUAACGUCAGGAAGGGAACCCGGUGAACUGAAACAUCUAAGUAGCCGGAGGAAGAGAAAACAACAUGUGAUUCUGUGAGUAGCGGCGAGCGAAAACGGAAGAGCCCAAACCGGGAUGCGUGCAUCCCGGGGUUCGGACCGCGGAAUUGAUUCAACAAGUUUAGCAGAACAGUUUUGGGAAAGCUGACCAAAGAGGGUGAAAGUCCCGUAAGCGAAAGGCGAGUUGACAUGGCGGUAUCCAGAGUAGGUCGAGACACGUGGAACCUUGACUGAAUAUGCGGGGACCACCCCGUAAGGCUAAAUACUCCUUAGUGACCGAUAGCGCAUAGUACUGUGAAGGAAAGGUGAAAAGGACCCCGGGAGGGGAGUGAAAGAGAACCUGAAACCCUGUGUUUACAAGCUGUCGAAGCACGUUAGUGCGACGGCGUACUUUUUGUAGAACGGUCCGGCGAGUUAUGAUACGCGGUAAGGUUAAGGACUUAAGGUCCGGAGCCGAAGCGAAAGCGAGUGUUAAGAGCACGAGGAAUCACGUAUCAUAGACCCGAAACCGGGUGAUCUAUCCAUGUCCAGGAUGAAGCUGCCGUAAGAGGUAGUGGAGGUCCGAACACACAUCCGUUGAAAAGGGUGGUGAUGAGGUGUGGAUAGGGGAGAAAUUCCAAUCGAACCCGGAGAUAGCUGGUUCUCCUCGAAAUAGCUUUAGGGCUAGCCUCGAUACAGAUUUGCGGAGGUAGAGCACUGAAUUUCCUAGGGGGCGUCAAAGCCUACCGAAGAAUAUCAAACUCCGAAUGCCGCGUAAUCGAUUAUCGGGAGUCAGACUGCACGAGAUAAGUUGGGCGGUCAAAAGGGAAAGAGCCCAGACCUUCAGUUAAGGUCCCAAAGUGCGCGUUAAGUGGAAAAGGAUGUGGGAUUUCGAAGACAACCAGGAUGUUGGCUCAGAAGCAGCCAUACAUUCAAAGAGUGCGUAAUAGCUCACUGGUCGAGAGGUCCUGCGCCGAAAAUGUCCGGGGCUGAAACACGACACCGAAGCUGUGGAAUUGACGAAUGUUAAUUGGUAGAGGAGCAUUCUUAGCGGGAUGAAGCAGUACCGAAAGGAGCUGUGGACUUCUAAGAAGAGAGAAUGCCGGAAUGAGUAGCGAGAGAGAGGUGAGAAUCCUCUCGGCCGAAUAUCUAAGGUUUCCAGAGUAAAGCUGAUCUGCUCUGGGUAAGUCGGGACCUAAGGCGAGGUCGAAAGACGUAGUCGAUGGAUAACAGGUUGAAAUUCCUGUACCGCAUAUAAACAGAACUGUGGGGACACAGACAGGGAAUGGAAUCCGGGGAUGGAGAACCCGGAGCAAGCGAGGUAGGAGUGCUGUUGGCAAAUCCGCAGCACGAUCUGAAGACGUGAUGCGUACCGAACAUAAGUAGGGAAGUCCAGGCCCCUGGCUGUCAAGAAAAGCCGCUAUUGUUUUAUAUGUGCCCGUACCGCAAACCGACACAGGUGGAUGAGGAGAGAAUCCUAAGGCCGACGGGAGAAGUAUUGUUAAGGAACUCGGCAAAAUGACUCCGUAACUUCGGGAGAAGGAGUGCCAUGAGAGUGGCCGCAGAGAAAUGGCCCAAGCAACUGUUUAGCAAAAACACAGGUCUAUGCAAAACCGCAAGGUGAAGUAUAUGGGCUGACGCCUGCCCGGUGCUGGAAGGUUAAGGGGAGAGGUUAGCGCAAGCGAAGCUUUGAACUUAAGCCCCAGUAAACGGCGGCCGUAACUAUAACGGUCCUAAGGUAGCGAAAUUCCUUGUCGGGUAAGUUCCGACCCGC
rnacentral:rRNA from 1 species